CAGCCGCCACGGUAAUACAGAGGGUGCGAGCGUUAAUCUGAUUUACUGGGCGUAAAGCGUGCGUAGGCGGCUUCUUAAGUCGGAUGUGAAAUCCCUGAGCUUAACUUAGGAAUUGCAUUCGAUACUGGGAAGCUAGAGUAUGGGAGAGGAUGGUAGAAUUCCAGGUGUAGCGGUGAAAUGCGUAGAUAUCUGGAGGAAUACCGAUGGCGAAGGCAGCCAUCUGGCCUAAUACUGACGCUGAGGUACGAAAGCAUGGGGAGCAAACAGGAUUAGAUACCCGGGUAGUUCCUGUCUCUUAUAA
rnacentral:rRNA from 1 species